rfam:Clostridium sp. CAG:762 genomic scaffold, scf65
UACAUUAAAAAGCGAGUACCAUAGACAGUAGGUAUAAAGGUAAAUCCUACCGAGGAACUUAUUAAUUAUGUUUUAAUUAUAAGCUUUCCUUGGUAUGGGAAAGCUUAUUUUAAAUAUAUAA